AUAUCAGGGACAGAACUUUUUAAUAAAAUACUAAUUUCAUUCAAAUGGAUUUUUACUCGUUUUUUUAUAAAAAUGAAAUUUUGAGUCAACGACUUGUUGCAAUACCAAUAAGGAUGCAUAUUCGAACUACAUGUUUGAUUAAUUCACAUAUAUUAACAUAUAACAAAUUACCACAAGAAUUACAAGAUUG